AAGGGCACCACAAGAACGCGUGGAGCAUGUGGCUUAAUUUGACUCAACGCGGGAAAUCUUACCGGGUCCGGACACACUGAGGAUUGACAGGUAUUAUUGUAUCUAUCUAUUAAUGAUAGAUACAUGUUAAAUAUGCUAGUCCUUUCAUGAUUAUGUGAUAGGUGGUGCAUGGCCGUUCUUAGUUCGUGGAGUGAUCUGUCUGCUUAAUUGCGUUUCACUAAGGGCCUAUAAAUUUACGUAUGUUGCGGCGUUUUGACCCCUCUUAAUUGAGCGCGUGUCUUUGUCUGCUUAGCUCAUACAAUUAGGUCCUGAAAGCAACGAACGUGACCGCAACCUCUUGUUGCCUUUAUACCAAACACUCAGUUCUAUAUAUCAUACUUCUGAUUAUAGUCUUUGUGCAAAAAGGCCUUUUAAACUAGAGGGACCGCUGUUACUUUCUUAAACCAGAAGAAGGUUGCGGCAAUAACAGGUCUGUGAUGCCCUUAGAUGUUCCGGGCUGCACACGUGCUACGAUGAUUAUUGCAGUGAGCAUCUCAUUUUUUACACACCGCAUGCGCGAGUCUAUUUAUUCACCUUUUGUGUGCUUUAAAUAUGUAUCUCUGCGCGCGGUAAAGCCUGCUUCGAAAGUAAGUGGGUAAUCAAUUAGAAGUAAUGAUUUCCUUAUAUAGCACACAUAUAUACGGCAUCUUUACCCGGCUUACCUUGUUGUAAGUUUCUUGUGCGUAUUGAUGUUUUUUCCGUAUGUGCGAUUGUCAAUUCAUGGUGGGGACAGACCAUUGUUAAUUGUUGGUCUCGGUCUUAACUAGGAAUGCCUUGUACGGGUCUUUGGUUCAACAAACCACCCGGAAUACGUCCCUGCCCUUUGUACACACCGCCCGUCGCUCUUACCGAUGGACUUCUCUGUGAGUUUGAGGGACUGGGAACGCAUAUAUUUAUAUAUUGCACACCUAUGGAAACUUAAACGAACAGUGUGGUCUAAAGGAAAGAGAAGUCGU
rnacentral:rRNA from 1 species